rnacentral:lncRNA from 1 species
CCGAAUAUUGUGUUCAACUUUUUGAAAGCAGCUCGUGACCCCGAAACUGCAUCCCCCGGAGCCGGGGACCCAGGCGCCGGGCGGGCGGGUGAACCCGGUCAGUCCCCUCCCCGUCCCCGAAACCCCCGCCUCCGGGUGGUGGCGACCUGGCCUCUCCCUGCCACUGCCCGGCCAGCCCCGGAGGGAGGCUGGGCAGGUGCUGCGGGCUCUGCCGAAAGCGCUGAAAUAAAAAACCAUCGCCACUCAGGGAGAACUGAGGCAAGUGGGGCUGAGACUCUGGCGACACCCCCGCCCCCCAGCCUCUGCCCCAGCGCCUGCCGCCCUGCCGCCCUGCCGCACCCCGCCUGCUUGGGUGGCGACCGCGGUUCCGGAACGCGAAGCAGGGCAGAGGGCUGCAGAGAGGCGUGUAGCUUUGUGCGCCAGGACCCGGUGGGGCAGGUGGCAGCCCCGGGCUGUCCGCGCCUCCCAGCAGAGCCGAGCUCGGCGCCGCCCACCGAGCCCACCUCGCGGUCCAGCCGCCGCCAGCGCCUUUCGGCUCUGGCCUGAAGCAGUACUCCCGCCUCCUGGAGCGGGUAAGUUGAGAGUCCGGAGAGCAGGGCAGGGAGGCGGGGCGGCUGGUCCCAGAGCGGAGGGCCGGACUGGCUCCCCGCCGGGCUGGGGGCGCAGGCUCCAUAGGAUCUCAGUCGAGGGGUUCUGAGUGCGUGUUUGGGUGGGAAGCAGGGCUGUGGAGCGCCAGAGCUUCCCCUCCCAAAUUCCCAGGCGCUGGGCACUGGGGAGUGGAGCAGAAGCAGAGGGACCUUGGGUUCCGGGGCCCAGCGGCCUUCCACGCUGGUCUGGGAACCAAGCAAGCCCUAGGGCAGUGCGAGGACUGGGAAGGGACCCUGGGGGACCGCUAGAGGAGGUGGCGCGUGGAGGGCGCCUGCACCCUGGGGUCGCUCAGAGCGGAGAGUCUCGGGUGGAUAGGUCAGCUUGCAGAUCCUCUAGGUCUCUUCUCUGCUCUCUGGCCGCUCUGAUUGCGGGAUCUGGGACUUGGCGCCCGUACAGGCCGGGUCACCUGUGCAGAACAAAUUUGCUGCCAUCAUCCCCGCUUCAAUCCUGGCCCCGGCGAUCUAAAAUAUCGCCUUCAGGUGGGGCAGGGAGAAAAGAUGUCUUUGGGGUUUAAAUAGUGUUCUCCUUGUACCCGGACCAACUGGCAUUUAUUUACAAAUGUCACCCGCCACCCCAGCACUGGGAAAGUCUCAACCACAUCUGGAGAACGCCCGAGAGACCUCCCACUCUCUCCUUGUUUUGGGUUACAGGGAAAGCCAACGGGUCUGCAGGCCUCCGGGAGACGAGGAUCCGGAGGGUUGGGGCAGCUGCACCCACUUGGCCUUGCUCAGCUCUAAACAGCCGACCAGGAGGCCGGGGGAAGGUUUGCCCUGUGGGGGCAACGCCCCUUCCGGCUCCCAGGAUGUCGGGAGGCGGAGGCUGGCCGGGUGGCCCGUAGUCUGGGCCUCCCCGCAAGCUGCAAACUGAGGCGCUUGGCGCGGGCGGCCAGGGAGGGCGCAGGGGAGCGCAGCACGCAGGCGGGGAGGCCGCGAAGCCCUUCAAGGACCCCGAUUACUUUCCUUUGAAAAACAACAACAACAACUGCUCCCUCCCCGCACCCCCGCCCCCCGCCUUAGCCUCCGGGGACUGGCGCUCCAAGCAAUUGUCGCCCCGGACAGUAAACACAGCUCAGUUGCCUCAACUUUCUCCAUGCAUAAAAGUUCCUGGCGUGCGGGGAAAUUUGAAUAUUUGAUCAGCCCCUUUGAGUGACCCUCAUUAGUCCGGCGCCCUGCUAAGGCCGGGCAUUGCAAGAAAGCUGCUGGGCUCGGCAUUUGUACGCCUUGUUAGCGCAGCUUAAUGAAGCCGCCCCGACGGCUCAAAGGCGGCCUCAGGGGCCGGCGACGCGCACCUCUCGGCACCCUGCUCUGCCUAAUGAGCCCCGCCGCCCUCUAAAGGACCCUCCACCCCCCACAUUCUGAAACAGGGGAAGUUUGGCUCUGUCUUGAACCACGGCACCUCCCACUGCCAGGCCCAGGAGGGUGGGCACAAACCCAGCCUAGCUGCCUGCAGUUACCCAUUCCCAAGAGAGAGGGGCUGGAGAGUUGGGAGGUGUGAGCCAUACUGGUUGGGGGCAGUGCAGGGAGGGGAGCGGGUGGCAGGAGAGGCUUUUGCUGUCUCAGGAUCCAGCCCAGGGAGUGCACUGCCAGCCUCUCCCAAGUGGACCAAUUGCAAAUCAAUUAGUCACUCCAGUUCCUUAAAGGUGCAUCUGGACUAAUGCUGGGGUGGCUGAGGGUCAGCCUUCCAUCCUCCUAUCACCUUAGGUUCCCUUGGCUUCCACUGCCCAGAGGCCACACACUUCUUCCCAAGGUUCCCCUUCUGAACAGCCAGACCUGGUGUGCCAGGACUUGGAUUUGAGAAAGGGUGGGCAGCUCCCCUCCCUAACCCAUCAUUGCCUCCACCAUUCACAGAGCCCAGUCACAUGUUAUGACAAGUGGCAGUAGGGAAGGCAGGGGACCACAGCCCGUCCUGCACUCCCCCUCAACAGAGGUAUCCCUUCUUUGGCUUCUAGUCCCAGGGAGGCCUGGCAAAAAAAGUGCUAUAGGCAAGACCACCCUGCAAGACUGGCCUGGCAGCCUGGCAGAGAGGCAGAGAGCCAGAGCCCUGGAAGGAAGGGAAACCAAAGCAGUCAUCUACUUCACCUUUUCUUAGUGGGGCAGCUGACAUGGCUGGCCAGUAAAUAUAAGACACCCUCUUAAAAAUUGUGCUUCAGUCCUCAGGAAGUGUAGCCUUCCUUCCCUUUCUGUCUCCCCUCUCCUCUGAUGCCCUUUUCCCUGGACAGUCGGAGCUCAAGGUCCUUCACUCCCUCCUUGCAUACACAGCUCUUGGGCCCUUAAGGGUUACUUUUGGGGGGAAUUAAUGCUCUGGGCUUGGGAAGCAGGCUGCUCCAAAUCCACACUCAGGACUUUCUGGACCCCACCCCCCAACACACAAACACAAACAUGCCCAGGAUCCCUCAGACACACAGUGGGCCUGGUCAGGUUGGUAACCUCAGGACCCCGUGCCCGCGUGAGCGUCUCUGGGAGGUCGUGGAAAGGAACCAAAAGGCCAGGUAGGCCCUGGGAUACAGAGAGCCCUCCAAGUCCAUCUGGUUUGCUUCUCUUCCUUUCUCUCUCCCUAGCUCCGCUAGCAUGCCCUGCCCCAUUUCCCAUCACAUAACCCCCUAACUUAACCCUAAACUGGCAAUCUUUAGGCAUCACCUCUGAGCUGGGCAAAGGCGGUGCCCGGGCCUUGAUCGACCCAGAGGGCUAAAGUAGGGGCGGGGAAGGGAGGGGUGUGCGCUGCUGGUGAGAAAGGGGACCUGAGGCGAGGGUAGAACUCAGCCCUGUGGCCUCGAGGCCAGGCCCACCGGCUGCUCAGGGGAGGAGGGGUGCAGCUCUUUAAGAGCCACACGGCUGGCAGGAGAGGCGCGCGGCCCGGUGCUGGUAGAGCACUGACCCCGAAGGGGAUUUAGCGGGAAGAGAGUGGCCGGGCUCUGGGGGUUUUGUCCGAGGGGGCCGGGAGAGGCCGAGACACAAGAAUAAGGAGCGGCCGCGGCAUGAAAGGCGGCGAGGAGAGGCAGCACUGCUGCUCUUGACUUCUGAGCAGGGCUUAGAGAGCCUGCCCCGGCUUAAGCCGAGCUGCUGGUGCUGACCCUGAGCGCCGAGUCCGCGAGCUCUGAGUCCGGAGCCUCCCAGCCGUGGAGCCGUGGGAUGAGGGGGGCGUUGGGGGACAGGGCAAAGUCGAUCUUGGUUGUACAGCCGCCCGAUCCUAGCGCGGAGCUGCGAGCCUGACCGGCCGCGUCUGGCAUGGUCAGAGAAAGAAUUUUCUUUUCCCAACUCCGGCUUUUGGUUUUGUGUGUCCACCUUGCGCAACUCCGGAGCCAGCCGACCCCACAUGGAUUCUCAACAGGUGGCCGGGUAAGUCCGUUUAAAGAAUUCUGGUUAUAUGGUCAGCCCCUCCCCGACCUUCUUCCUUUUCCCCUCCCUCUUCCCCCUUUGGCUGGGCCGGGUUCCCCGUGCUCCUCCCGCAGGCGACGGCUGGGGUGGUGGUGGGGGAAGAGGCGCCCUUCCCCUGGGGGUCUCUGGGCUCCGAGUUGCAGCCCAGGAAGCCUGGCGGGCGGCCCCCAAGGAGUUCCACCCGGUACCCCCAAGUCCCGAUCACUCUUAGCUCCUUGGUCUGGGCCCUGGCGCCCUGAGAGGGGGAGGGAGAAAGAACGCGCAGCAGCACCUCAAAAGCCGAAGUCCCCGGGAAGGGGGACAGGGGACCCGGUGGCCGGGCAGCCUUUGUGUGGGGGUUUACGGCGGAAACAGAACUAUUCUUCUUGUGUGAGAGGCCCGGGAUGUGGCCAGGGGGAGCCCGCGCCAGCCGUACAAUAGCCGGCAGAAGAGCGCCUCAGCAGCCGGGGUAGGAGUGGGGUAGGGUGGGGUAGACCUGGGUGGGGGAGGGGAGGGCGAGAGAAGAGGGAGGGGAAGCAGAGAAAGGCAAAGGCGAGAAAUCCAGGGCGUCCGAGUGAAAAGUCGGAAAAUGUUUCCAGAGCGCGCCACAAACAGGCGCGCGCGCGCGCUUGCGGGCGCAUAGUCUCUCUGUCUCUCUCUCGCACACACACAAACACACUCUUACAUGCUCACACUCAUUCCACACAUGGAGCCCACGCACGCGGUUCCUAGUCGUGCAGGGUCGCAUGCCUGGGCACCCAAAGUGAACGCAGAGUAGAGCCGCCCUCCCACCCCCACCAACGGAGAGCCCUCCCGCCCAGCCACAGGCUCCCCGACUGGGGAGCUAGGAGGGCCCCCGGGGCUGGGGCACAGGGAGGAUCUUACCUGCCGAAAGGUAAGGGAAGCCGGGAGCACGGAGCAGCGGCGGAUAAAUAUUCAUUAGUAAGUCUCUCCUUUUAAGCCGCGCGGUGCGCUCUCUGGCUCCUAUCUCUCUUUCCCUCCCUCCCUCUGUCCUCUUGUGAGCCUCUCUCCCCCUCUCGCUCUGUCUUCCCCCCACCCCUUCCUGCGAAAUGCCGGGUGGAUCCCAGUAUAGCUAACCUGUUGGGAAGCCUGAGCCGCGGGCAGCGCCUCCACAGCUGUUUGCUUUUGCUCUUGGGGCGCGCGUUUCCCCAUCCUCUCCCCUCUCUCCUUUUGCCCAGCCCCUCUCCCCCUCCUAAAUUACUACAUCAUUAGCUUUAUUUGGUGGGGGGACAGCUCAGCCAAACGCACCUCCCUAUAGCAGGGUGAAAAGCCGCUGCUCCCCGAGGCAGCCCCAACUCCACCCCUACCCCUGCCUCACCCAUCUCCAUGUCCCUACCCAGUUUUGUUUAUUUUUCUUCUCUCUUUCCAUCUUCACUUCCGUCCUGUACCGACCCAACUCCCUUACCAUUCCUCCCUUCCUCGUCGCUGCCAAUACGGAUCCCAGACGGGGUCGGGGCAGGGAGAUGCCAAGUGAGUAGGUCCAAUAUGCCAAGGUCGGGACUCCACCCUGCCAUGGGCGUGGGGGUAGUCCUCCAGGUCCCCCUUUCCCACGUAGGCUUUCCACCCUGACCCUAAGUGGGUACCGGGGCAGCUUGGGCCUUGGGAUCAGAGCACCAGGGCGCACAGCAAGGGCCUCAGCCCUCCAGGCCUCAGCGACCUGGAGCCUGGGUCCUUUGACCCGGUCUGGGAGACUGCAUGGCGGAGGGGAGGUGGCUUCACUUUGUACGAAUGCUCAGGAGAGACACAACCACCGACCAUCGGACUGACGUUCUCCCUUUUCAAACAAACUGACCUUAAGUCAGCAGUAAGUCUGCAUCAUUCUCACGAGAAAACACAUCUACAAGAUUCUAGAAAUGCACAAGGAACCGCUUCUAGUCGCGCGUGAACACGUGCACACACACCACACCCCUCACCCCCACACACCCGAGGCCACCGUUCCCGCUGGCCUCUGAAACCUGUAGGCGCGCAGGCCCGAAAGGCUAAUUCUAGCGGAGGAAUACAUCGCAAAACCGCCCCAGGAGAGCCCUGGCCACUCUUGUUGGCCCCCAUUCUUCCAGAUCCAGGCCUCUAGGAUGCCCCAGGGACCCUGAAGGAUGGUGAGGCCCCAGGGUGCUUGGGGGUGGUCCGGGAAGCUCACUCUGGCAGCCCGCUGAGCGCUGCGUGUUGAGGUAGGAGCUGGAGGAGGGGCCAAGGGAGGCGGGCCCAGGCCAAUUCCAAGUUACAAAUACAGCUGCUCCUGCGAGGCCUAGGAGAGUUUUGCCCCAAAACGUGCAUAUCAUUCGCCCCGAGACGCCAUGACCUCCCCAGACAUAGCCCCAGGGCGCACUCGACCUCGAGGUGGCUUGGGUGAUGGGAGCAAUCGAGAGCCAGGAGACGACCUCGAGACCUCCGCCCGCCCAUUCAGCCCGGCCCAGCCACAGUCCACCGAGAGACGCCCUAGAUGAUGGUCCUAUCCUUCCCAAAGGGUGGCAAGGCGCAGGAUCGCGGAGGGUCUCCCUCCUUGUCCUGAAAGGUUAAGAAAUUGGGCAGAUGAAGGUAUUUAAAAGAGGCCUAGAGGGCCCUGGGGCCGAAAGCCCUAUCAACCUCACACUCCACCCAAAGUCCCGCGUUUGCACGUGCACACCUCCUUCUCCCCAUGCAGACCCAGGGGGUCGCGCACGUUUGAGCUCAGACUCAAGCUGAGUCACCUGACUAUGCCUGGAACGUACAGGCAAUCGUACCGAAUACACAUGGGAGAAUUAAAGGAACACUACGGGAGAAUUAAAGGAACACUAACAGGAAUUUGAGGAAUAAAGAAGUGCCCACAGGCAUAAUUAUUUGAAUACACGGGUGCACACCCUGUUGUCCAGAUGCAGACAAAAGCCACAGUGCCUGCGAGGAGUGACCCCAACCACAAGGGCAGAUGUACAGGAAGCCGUGAACGGGAGAGUUCGCCGAAUGAGGACGCAGGCCGCAAGGCCAAGGGGGCUUCCUGCUAGAGGGACGUUGGCUCGGAGGGAGAAACUUUGUUGAGCCGACUGGGUGAAAGGUUUCAGGUCAAGUCCUGGCCACUAGAAAGAACCAAGGCCUCAUCCACUCAGAGCCAACCUUUUAGCCUUCCUCUCAGCUCUGUUGGAGAUACCCAGAAAAGGACAAUCCAGGAAAGAUUCAUUUUGACCGAGAUUGUUUUUAUUGUUUAUUUCUUAUUAUUUUUGACCUAGGGGUUUGCAUUCUGAAAAAGGAUUUGGGUGGCGCGUAUGCAAGUUCUCACUCACUGCUGGGAGAUUCAUAAUUCUUAAUAGGAACAUUCAGCUCUAACCAUGGCCUGAGAAGCUGGAGGGCCCUUAUUUUGCCCCUUUCACCCUUCUUAUCCUAAACUUGAUCAUUCAAAAGGAUCCACACCCUCCUGCCCCCAACUCCACCCCAAUACCCUGUAUGUCAGAUAUGUUUGCAGAAGAACACACUUCAAAGUAAACCAAAUUACAUAGUUUAUUUAAAAAAAUUUUUUGUGAUAUAUUGGGAAGUCCUCACCCCCUGCUCCCCUGUCUCUGGCUGAGCACGGUGUCCGGGCGGAGUUGGGGGGUUGCCAAGAGGAGUUUCCAGAGUGGCUCUUGGGCAAGGCCUGAGAAACUACUCUACAUAGGCUUGUUUUUAGUGUGAGCUCCCUUUGCCUAACCAGUUCUAGUGGCUACCUCCCGGUUUCCUGCAGAAGAGGCAGGCUCCCUGGGAGCAGGGGCGCCCUCGCUUCCACUUCACCUCCUUUCCUAACUUUCUCUCUUUUGAGCACAUCUUCUGAGCCUCGCUCUCUCAUCUGAAAGUGGAGUGUAAGUCCAAGAAGAUUCAUUUAGACAAAGAAGGUGGAAAAAAAGGACUUUCUGGGCCAGCAAGUCGGAUGACCACCCUCCAAGGGGCAGAGGAGGGCCCAUUUUGUGAAGAAGAAAUCAACUACCCGGAAAACGCCACAGGAGGACAUGUUUCUGCAGAUGUAGUUGCCCUAGAAACAGAAGAGUAUGGGGGUGUGAAUGUCUUCUCUUUUGGGGGCAAACACUAUGUCCUUUUCUUUUUCUAGAUACAGUUAAUUCCUGGAAAUUUUAGCGAGUUUGUUCUUGUGGAUAUUUUGAACAAUAAAGAGUGAAAAUCACUUUGGAGUCACUUAAUCUUCGUUAGAAGGGCAGUUUCUUCCAGGGCCAUUUUCUUUCACCAGAUUUGUUUUUCCUCGUUCCCAAAUGAGGUAGUUUUAAAAAUCAAAGUCCACUUGCUAACUCACCUGGGAAAGAGACUGCGACAGAAGGAAGAGAAGUAAAUAGACAUCACUCUCAAACUAAAAGUGUAACUUUCAUUCCUGGCAGCUGAGAUUCAGAACACAAAGAAACAAACUCGUUUACCUUUGAGUAUUUCCCCCGUUUGGGUAAUUUAUCUAGAGCUUUCCCAACAAUUAAUCACAGCAUCUUGAAGUUGGAAAUGUAUGCUAUUAUUUUCAGCCUUACAAGGUUCGUCAAACUCUGCUUCUCUGGUUUUAAAAACUGUUUGCUUCUACAUAGCUAUGCCCGUUGCAACAUUUAUCACUCAAGCAGAAAAGCAACUCGUUUUCUCACAGCCUCAAAUGCCCCGUGUACAGUCACUGGAGCGAAUUUAUUUUUCUCUGUCUUUCCCAAAUGCCCUUGUCACCUCUGCCAGGGCCACAAGACUCGGGGCAAAACUUCGGAGGUUUGAGACCUCUUGAGUGUGUGGAUCGCUAUUAUUGUUAGUUUUUUUGUUGGGAGAAAUCGUGCUCGGUGAUCGCGUGCGGUUGUCUCUCUCUAAGCCGACUAGGGUUGCCUGCGCCUUCCUCAGCAGAAACUCCUAGAGGAAGCUAACCAUUUCCGCUGCCCGGGGCAAAGGGCUGAACGGUGUUGUCGGGUCUAGGGUUGGGGUGGGAAAGUGAGGACGGUAUGCGGAUCGGGGAGGGGGCAGUCAUCAUCUUCAACAAUAAAUUAAAAUAACCUGAUACCCCUUUAAUCCCUUCCAUCAACAGUGUCAACGCGCUAGAGAGGCCGUCUCACCUCCAAAGGUAUCUUCACUCCCGGAGGGCCCGGGCUCCCAGCCGCAGUCCCACACUGGGCCCGCGCGCCGGAUACGAGGUGCUCCGACGGCAAAAAUCCCAUACAUUUUUAACUACAGUGAUUACUAAAUUAAUAGCAGGCACUAAGACAGAUGUCAAAACGUCUUGAAAAUGUUUAUCUGUGAAUAAUUGAGAAGGUGGUGGGACGCAUUAUCUGAUUGUGUAAUGAAAUAUGUAUGAGGAACAGCUGUUUGCAACAGUCCCCUCCCGCCGCCUCCUCAGCCAAGGCCCUUCUCUAGGAAGCAGGAGUCGCGGCGAAGUUGGUCGCCUACUUCCGUCCACUUGGGAGCCCUCGCGGCCCCUCCCCGGCUGCUGGCAGAAUGGUGGCUCCAGCGCGCCCCAGAGUAGUCCGGUUUCCCGACGGACAACAGCAUGGAGUCCUCCUCAGCCUCGCUCUGUGGGCUCCGUGCCUGAGUGAGGCUCCACCGCCGGCCGCGCUGUCCCUCGCGCCUUCGGGGCCGGCCGCGGGCUCGGCCUGCGGGGACCGAGGGGAGCACUGGCCCGGGCGGCCGCGGAGGCCUGACGUGCGCCCACCGGGCGGUGCGGCCUGCUCGGAGGCGAGGCCCGGGAGCCCCGCGGCUCAGCGGGGCGGGCCUGGGGUCACCGAGGGGUGACGGGGCUCCGGAGAGGGCUUUGUUCGCGCUCUCGCCACACUGCGCACUUCCUUCCAGCCCCCUGCGGCCCCCACCCCAAACCUCCGCGCCCCCGCCCUGUUUGUUUUUCCAGCCCCGCGCCCUCCACCCCAACACGCAAACAGCCCUCGGGGCUGCGUCAGCGGCCUGAGGCCGUGGCCCAGGUCAGGCCUGAGUCCAAAUGGGGCCAGCACGGCGAGCCCUGGCCCCGCAGGAAGCGGUGUGAGGGGGAGAGGGAGCUCCAGGGCCUUCCUGGCGCGAGAGGGGCAGGCGAAGGCCGGGGGGAAGGUGGUCCAAUAGGGCGCACGGCCUGGGCGGGCGGCGAAGGCCCGAGGCCUGGGCUCGGAAGGGUGCGGGCGGCCUGCGCGGCUGCCCAGCCCCUGCCGCUGUCCCCAGCCCCAGCUGGACAGGGGAGGCGCGGCGGAGUGGGGGUGAGGAGGACGCCAGGAAGGGCCCCAUCGGGCCUGGGCCUUGAAGGCAGUGUCACCCACAUGGACAAACCCGGUGCCCCGUGCGGGUGUGGGGACCCCCUCGCCGCCUUCCCUGCGCUUCGCCCCGCCCGGAGACCGCGUCCCGGGCGCGGCGCUUCCCGAAGCUCCCAGCCGGGCCGUGGCUUGCCCGCGUCCUCCGCCUCCACGGCCUCUCGGCCCCUCAUCUUCCCCAGCUCCGGGGACCCGUCCCUAGCCCCUGACGCCCGGGAAGCCUGGCUCCGAAACCUUCGGCCGCGUUGGCCUUCCGGCGCCGCUGUCCCGACCGCUCUGGGGCCGGGGCCAGGGCCGGGAGCGGAGGAACCGAGUCCGGCUUUGCGGCCCCGUGGCGCCCCGACACCCUGCGCCUUCGCAGUCUCCCUAGGCUGACUCAGUCGAGAUGCGCUCGGGCGUUAUGUCUGGAGCGUCGCCCUUUUACCUAAUCCCUUAUGCUUUUAUUCUAAUCCUACACAUUACAGUUAAUCUGUAAUGAUACCGCUUUGGAGGAACCUGUUGCAUACGAGGCUCGGCAAUUUGUAACCUUGGAAACAGUUUUAAAUAAAGAUUAUAAGAGUGAUGUCAACUGUGU